rnacentral:rRNA from 1 species
UACGUAGGGUGCGAGCGUUGUCCGGAAUUAUUGGGCGUAAAGAGCUUGUAGGCGGUUUGUCGCGUCUGCUGUGAAAUCCCGGGGCUUAACCCCGGGCGUGCAGUGGAUACGGGCUGGCUGGAGGCAGGCAGGGGAGAACGGAAUUCCCGGUGUAGCGGUGAAAUGCGCAGAUAUCAGGAGGAACACCGGUGGCGAAGGCGGGUCUCUGGGCAGUAACUGACGCUGAGGAGCGAAAGCGUGGGGAGCGAACAGG